GAUGAACGCUGGCGGCGUGCUUAACACAUGCAAGUCGAACGAAGCACUUUAUUUGAUUUCCUUCGGGACUGAUUAUUUUGUGACUGAGUGGCGGACGGGUGAGUAACGCGUGGGUAACCUGCCUUGUACAGGGGGAUAACAGUUGGAAACGGCUGCUAAUACCGCAUAAGCGCACGGCAUCGCAUGAUGCAGUGUGAAAAACUCCGGUGGUAUAAGAUGGACCCGCGUUGGAUUAGCUAGUUGGUGAGGUAACGGCACACCAAGGCGACGAUCCAUAGCCGACCUGAGAGGGUGACCGGACACAUUGGGACUGAGACACGGCCCAAACUCCUACGGGAGGCAGCAGUGGGGAAUAUUGCACAAUGGGCGAAAGCCUGAUGCAGCGACGCCGCGUGAGCGAAGAAGUAUUUCGGUAUGUAAAGCUCUAUCAGCAGGGAAGAUAAUGACGGUACCUGACUAAGAAGCACCGGCUAAAUACGUG
rnacentral:rRNA from 1 species